CUCAUCCUAAACCUCCAGAAUAGAAGAUGAGACAAUGCCUUGUAGUUCAGCUAUAAAAAUUGCUACAUUUUGAUGACUAUAAAAUGUAAAUAAUUAGGGAAAAUUACUGGCUGUACAGCAGAAUUAGAAUGACUAUGUAGACAAGAUCCAAUUGUUAAAAAAAAAAUAAUUUUAGUUAAAAUAACUAUAGACAGGUUUCUGAUUUAGCAAACUUAAUUUUCGGUGGUUAAAUAAAGAGAUCUGAAGGUGAUCAUUAAGCUGAGCCAU